rnacentral:rRNA from 1 species
GAUGAACGCUGGCGGCGUGCCUAACACAUGCAAGUCGAGCGAGAUAAAUGUGAGUGGAGACUUCGGUCAAAGCGAUCAUUUUGAAAGCGGCGGACGGGUGAGUAACGCGUGAGCAAUCUGCCCCAUACAAAGGGAUACCCACUGGAAACGGUGAUUAAUACCUUAUAAGACCACGAAGUCGCCUGGCUUAGUGGCCAAAGAUUUAUCGGUAUGGGAUGAGCUCGCGUCUGAUUAGCUAGUUGGUGAGGUAAUGGCUCACCAAGGCGACGAUCAGUAGCCGACCUGAGAGGGUGAACGGCCACACUGGAACUGAGACACGGUCCAGACUCCUACGGGAGGCAGCAGUGGGGAAUAUUGCACAAUGGGCGCAAGCCUGAUGCAGCAACGCCGCGUGAAUGAUGAAGGCCUUCGGGUCGUAAAGUUCUGUCCUAAGGGAAGAAUACAGUGACGGUACCUUAGGAGGAAGCCCCGGCUAACUACGUGCCAGCAGCCGCGGUAA